UACGUAGGGGGCAAGCGUUAUCCGGAUUUACUGGGUGUAAAGGGAGCGUAGGUGGCAUGGUAAGCCAGAAGUGAAAACCCGGGGCUCAACCCCGCGGAUUGCUUUUGGAACUAUCAGGCUGGAGUGCUGGAGGGGUAAGCGGAAUUCCUAGUGUAGCGGUGAAAUGCGUAGAUAUUAGGAGGAACACCGGUGGCGAAGGCGGCUUACUGGACUGUAACUGACGUUGAGGCUCGAAGGCGUGGGGAGCGAACAGG
rnacentral:rRNA from 1 species